GGGGGGGGGGGGGGGGGGGGGGGGGGGGUGGGGGGGGGGCGGGGGGGGGGGGGGGGGGGGGGGUGCUCGAGUGGGGGGCGGAUGGGGAGGGGGGGGGUGGCCGGGCCUGGGCUGUGGGCUAACUUCGGGGAGCUGGGGCUGAUACGGGAUAGGGGCUCCUGCUGCAUGGUGGGGGUUGGAAAGGUUCGGCGGUUGGGGAUGGACUCGCGGCGUAUCAGCUGGUGGGUGGGGUAGUGGCUUACCAAGGCUUUGGCGGGUGGCCGGCCUGAGAGGGGGACCGGCCCCAUUGGGACUGAGAUACGGCCCAGACUCCUACGGGAGGCAGUAGUGGGGAAUAUUGCACAAUGGGCGGAAGCCUGAUGCAGCAACGCCGCGUGCGGGAUGACGGCCUGCGGGUUGUAAACCGCUUUCGCCUGUGACGAAGCGUGAGGGACGGUAAUGGGUAAAGAAGCACCGGCUAACUACGUG
rnacentral:rRNA from 1 species